CGGGCCCAGCAACGCGGCAACGACCUAAGGCCUCGUGUACCUGGUCGGGAGGAAGUUUUUUCGCUGCUGUGUGAACUCUUGGCCUUGUCGUCGGCGGUCGUGGGCAACUGUCGACCUGGGUCACUCGACACGGGCACGUGGUCCGGGUGUCUAGAAGAGGGGCGGGGUUGACGAUCAUAUGGUGCGAGGACAAACACUUAACAAAAAAAAUCCAAAAUUCAAAUACUGAACACUAAGUUCGACCAAGGGACCGUUAGGUAGGUUGGUAGGAAGUUGGCGGCGGCGUCGGGCGUCCAUGUGGUGUGGAGUACGAAAUGUCGAGUCGGAGGCGGUAGGCCGAGUCCAGGUGUGCGUUUGCGCGUGGCCGAUUAUAUAUAGGGGUAAGGGGUCACGAUCGGGUGGUGGUAGGCGUGCUGUAAAAGCGGUGGGUUGGGCCGUUUAGCGGUUAGCGGCAGCAGAAGAAGAAACAGAGGAGGUCGCUCGGUGUCGGGUGUCCUUAGGAGAGGCUGGUUCUUCUCUUCUCUUCUCUCUUCCCUACCCUCCCAAGGUCGCCGUCCACUUCCUCGCCUGGUACCUCCACUUCCACCGCCACGAGUUCCCGCAGUCCCAGCAGCCGCUGAAGCCGUUCUUCUGCACCUUGUUCCAGUUCCGGUAGUUCGCGACUAGCUAGGUAGGUAGCGUAGAGUGGGCUACACACGAAGCAAGGAAGCGAGGUCAGGUGAUCAACGAAGUACAUCAUGACGGACUAUCCUAUCGGCAGACCGGAACACGAGAAAAAAAAAAGCCAACACCAACACUAAACCAAACAACCUAGACAAAACUCCGUCGAAAACUACGUACACUUUUUAACAGACAGUCACACUAGAUAUAAAUCGGAACAAAAUAUAGAGGAACUAAUAAUAAUAAUAAUAAAGCGGAAGAACAAAAUUAAGGAAGGGAGUUUCAGUA
rnacentral:rRNA from 1 species